rnacentral:rRNA from 1 species
UGGGGAAUUUUGGACGAAUUGGGCGAAAGCCUGAUCCAGCAAUGCCGCGUGUGUGAAGAAGGCCUUCGGGUUGUAAAGCACUUUUUGUCCGGAAAGAAAUCCUUGGCUCUAAUACAGUCGGGGGAUGACGGUACCGGAAGAAUAAGCACCGGCUAACUACGUGCCAGCAGCCGCGGUAAUACGUAGGGUGCAAGCGUUAAUCGGAAUUACUGGGCGUAAAGCGUGCGCAGGCGGUUUGCUAAGACCGAUGUGAAAUCCCCGGGCUCAACCUGGGAACUGCAUUGGUGACUGGCAGGCUAGAGUAUGGCAGAGGGGGGUAGAAUUCCACGUGUAGCAGUGAAAUGCGUAGAGAUGUGGAGGAAUACCGAUGGCGAAGGCAGCCCCCUGGG